rnacentral:tRNA from 1 species
UGGGGAGUCGCCAAGUGGUAAGGCAGCGGCCUUUGAAGCCGCCAUUCGUUGGUUCGAAUCCAACCUCCCCAG